rnacentral:tRNA from 1 species
GGAACAGUGGUGUAUGAGGUGUGCACGGUAGUUUGAAGCACUAGAGGUAUUCGUUCGACUCGAAUCUGUUCCGC